GUUUUCGGAUCGUAAAACUCUGUUGUUAGAGAAGAACAAGGAUGAGAAGAGAAUGUUCAUCCCUUGACGGUAUCUAACCAGAAAGCCACGGCUAACUACGUGCCAGCAGCCGCGGUAAUACGUAGGUGGCAAGCGUUGUCCGGAUUUAUUGGGCGUAAAGCGAGCGCAGGCGGUUCUUUAAGUCUGAUGUGAAAGCCCCCGGCUUAACCGGGGAGGGUCAUUGGAAACUGGGGAACUUAAGUGCAGAAGAGGAGAGUGGAAUUCCAUGUGUAGCGGUGAAAUGCGUAGAUAUAUGGAGGAACACCAGUGGCGAAGGCGGCUCUCUGGUCUGUAACUGACGCUGAGGCUCGAAAGCGUGGGGAGCAAACAGGAUUAGAUACCCUGGUAGUCCACGCCGUAAACGAUGAGUGCUAAGUGUUGGAGGGUUUCCGCCCUUCAGUGCUGCAGCUAACGCAUUAAGCACUCCGCCUGGGGAGUACGACCGCAAGGUUGAAACUCAAAGGAAUUGACGGGGGCCCGCACAAG
rnacentral:rRNA from 1 species